GAACGCUGGCGGCGUGCUUAACCCCUGCAAGUUGAGCGGAAAGGCCCUUUGGGGUUCUUGAGCGGCGAACGGGUGAGUAACCCGUGAGCCACCUGCCCCUGACUUUGGGAUCAGCCCGGGAAAAUGGGUUUUAUUCCGGAUUCGGCCGCCCCCGGCCUUGGGUGGUGGUGGAAAGUUUUUUCGGUUGGGGAUGGGCUCGCGGCCUAUCAGCUUGUUGGUGGGGUAGUGGCCUACCAAGGCGACGACGGGUAGCCGGCCUGAGAGGGCGACCGGCCACACUGGGACUGAGACACGGCCCAGACUCCUACGGGAGGCAGCAGUGGGGAAUAUUGCGCAAUGGGCGGAAGCCUGACGCAGCGACGCCGCGUGGGGGAUGACGGCCUUCGGGUUGUAAACCUCUUUCAGCAGGGACGAAGUUGACGUGUACCUGCAGAAGAAGCGCCGGCUAACUACGUGCCAGCAGCCGCGGUAAUACGUAGGGCGCAAGCGUUGUCCGGAAUUAUUGGGCGUAAAGAGCUCGUAGGUGGCUG
rnacentral:rRNA from 1 species